GAAUUUGAAUCCUGUGGGCCGUUGAAUGUGGCUGCUCGCGGUCGGCGUGCCCCGACGUAGAGCGGGCCGGGAAAAGUGGCGCUGACGCUCUGGAACUUCUGCCCAGCUCUCCUUGCUUGUGUUUUCUGUCGAAAAAAUGAUGACUGUCCUAAUAAAUAUGGAGAAAAGAAAACUAAGGAGAAAUGGAAUCUCACUGUACAUUACUACUGUUUGUUGAUGUCAAGUGGAAUUUGGCAGAGAGGCAAAGAAGAAGAAGGAGUUUAUGGUUUUCUAAUAGAAGAUAUCAGGAAGGAAGUGAAUAGAGCUUCUAAACUGAAAUGCUGUGUUUGCAAGAAAAAUGGUGCUUCAAUUGGAUGUGUUGCACCCCGAUGUAAACGAAGUUAUCAUUUCCCAUGUGGACUUCAGAGAGAAUGUAUUUUCCAGUUUACUGGCAAUUUUGCGUCAUUUUGUUGGGACCAUCGACCUGUUCAAAUAAUUACAUCUAAUAAUUAUAGAGAGUCCUUACCAUGCACCAUUUGCUUGGAAUUUAUUGAGCCUAUUCCAAGUUAUAACAUAUUACGAAGUCCUUGUUGUAAGAACGCUUGGUUUCAUAGAGACUGUUUACAGGUUCAAGCAAUAAAUGCGGGAGUGUUUUUCUUUAGGUGUACAAUAUGCAAUAAUAGUGACAUCUUUCAGAAAGAGAUGUUGAGAAUGGGAAUUCAUAUUCCUGAAAACAAAUGGGAAAUAAAGCGCUGUCAGUGUUGUGGUUCCAGUGGCACACAUUUAGCCUGCUCCUCAUUACGGUCAUGGGAGCAAAAUUGGGAGUGUUUGGAAUGUAGGGGUAUUAUCUACAAUUCAGGAGAUUUCCAAAAAGCCAAAAAACAUGUAUUACCCAACUCUAAUAAUGUGGGGAUUACAGAUUGUUUAUUGGAAGAGUCAUCACCUAAAUUACCCAGACAGUCACCUGGAGCCCAGAGUAAAGAUCUACUGAGCUCUGAAAGAGAAUCUUUACUAUGAAGCUGGC
rnacentral:sRNA from 1 species